rnacentral:rRNA from 1 species
CCGGUGGAAUGCGCCAGAUAUUCAGGAGGAACACCGAUGGCGAAGGCAGAUCUCUGGGCCGUAACUGACGCUGAGGGGCGAAAGCAUGGGGAGCGAACAGGAUUAGAUACCCUGGUAGUCCAUGCCGUAAACGUUGGGAACUAGAUGUAGGGACCAUUCCACGGUUUCUGUGUCGCAGCUAACGCAUUAAGUUCCCCGCCUGGGGAGUACGGCCGCAAGGCUAAAACUCAAAGGAAUUGACGGGGGCCCGCACAAGCGGCGGAGCAUGCGGAUUAAUUCGAUGCAACGCGAAGAACCUUACCAAGGCUUGACAUAUACGAGAACGGGCUAGAAAUAGUCAACUCUUUGGACACUCGUAAACAGGUGGUGCAUGGUUGUCGUCAGCUCGUGUCGUGAGAUGUUGGGUUAAGUCCCGCAACGAGCGCAACCCUCGUUCUAUGUUGCCAGCACGUAAUGGUGGGAACUCAUAGGAGACUGCCGGGGUCAACUCGGAGGAAGGUGGGGAUGACGUCAAAUCAUCAUGCCCCUUAUGUCUUGGGCUUCACGCACGCUACAAUGGCCGAUACAAAGGGCUGCAAUACCGUAAGGUGGAGCGAAUCCCAAAAAGUCGGUCUCAGUUCGGAUUGAGGUCUGCAACUCGACCUCAUGAAGUCGGAGUCGCUAGUAAUCGCAGAUCAGCAACGCUGCGGUGAAUACGUUCCCGGGCCUCGUACACACCGCCCGUCAAGUCAUGAAAGUCGUAACACCCGAAGCCAGUGGCCUAACCG